rnacentral:rRNA from 1 species
UACGAAGGGGGCUAGCGUUGUUCGGAAUUACUGGGCGUAAAGCGUGCGCAGGCGGUCUCUCAAGUCAGGGGUGAAAGCCCAGAGCUCAACUCUGGAACUGCCCUUGAAACUGUGAGGCUCGAGUACGGGAGAGGUGAGUGGAAUUCCCAGUGUAGAGGUGAAAUUCGUAGAUAUCGGGAGGAACACCAGUGGCGAAGGCGGCGACCUGGACGGACAUUGACGCUGAGACGCGAAAGCGUGGGGAGCAAACAGG